rnacentral:rRNA from 1 species
CAAUAGCGUAUAUUAAAGUUGUUGCAGUUAAAAAGCUCGUAGUUGGAUUUCUGGUGAGAUGGAUCAUGUCUAGGUCGAAAGAUCUUGUUCAUGGUUCGUUUUGCCCUUCUUGUCAGGAACCCGCUGAGAUUCGCGUCUUGUCGGUGGAAUGGCAUCGUUUACUGUGAAAAAAUUAGAGUGUUCAAAGCAGGCAUCGCCGUUGAAUACAUUAGCAUGGAAUAAUAAGAUAAGACUUUGGUGGUCUAUUUUGUUGGUUUGCACGCCAAAGUAAUGAUUAAUAGGGAUAGUUGGGGGUAUUCGUAUUCUAUUGCUAGAGGUGAAAUUCUUAAAUUUAUGGAAGACGAACUACUGCGAAAGCAUUUACCAAGGAUGUUUUCAUUAA